rnacentral:piRNA from 1 species
UGUUAAAUCAGGGUGUCUCUGCAGGUGA